rnacentral:rRNA from 1 species
AUUGAACGCUGGCGGCAUGCUUUACACAUGAAAGUCGAACGGUAACAGGCCGCAAGGUGCUGACGAGUGGCGAACGGGUGAGUAAUGCAUCGGAACGUGCCCAGUCGUGGGGGAUAACGCAGCGAAAGCUGUGCUAAUACCGCAUACGGUCUAUGGAUGAAAGGGGGGGAACGUAAGGCCUCGCGCGAUUGGAGCGGCCGAUGUCAGAUUAGGUAGUUGGUGGGGUAAAGGCCUACCAAGCCGACGAUCCGUAGCUGGUCUGAGAGGAUGAUCAGCCACACCGGAACUGAGACACGGUCCGGACUCCUACGGGAGGCAGCAGUGGGGAAUAUUGCGCAAUUGGCGAAAGCCUGACGCAGCCAUGCCGCGUGUGUGAAGAAGGCCUUCGGGUUGUAAAGCACUUUCAGUGUGGAGGAAAGGGUGCUGGCUAAUAUCCAGCGCAGUUGACGCUACCCACAGAAGAAGCACCGGCUAAUUCCGUGCCAGCCGCCGCGGUAAGAC